AUAAUAUUCUUCAACUUAUUAAUCGACACAUUUAAAAUUUUUAAUUUAUUUAAUUUUAAUAUGUAAAUCAAACUUUAAAAUUUAAACGAUUCUCUCUUUUUUUUUUAUCAAAUUUAAUAAUUAUAAUUAAUUAAAACUUAUUAAAUUAACAUACACGAUCACAUUCUAUAAAAAUUUAGAAAAAAAAAACUAUAUUUAUAUUUUAAAUAAAAUAAAUUUAAAAAAUUUAAUUUUUU
rnacentral:lncRNA from 1 species